rnacentral:rRNA from 1 species
AUUGAACGCUGGCGGCAGGCUUAACACAUGCAAGUCGAGGGGCAGCAUAAAGUGUAGCAAUACACUUGGUGGCGACCGGCGGACGGGUGCGUAACGCGUAUGCAACUUUCCCUAAACAGGGGGAUAAUCCGAAGAAAUUUGGUCUAAUACCCCAUAACAUCGUUUGAGGCAUCUCAGAUGGUUGAAAUUUUCGGAGGUUUAGGAUGGGCAUGCGUAGCAUUAGCUUGUUGGUGAGGUAACGGCUCACCAAGGCGACGAUGCUUAGGGGGACUGAGAGGUUAACCCCCCACACUGGUACUGAGACACGGACCAGACUCCUACGGGAGGCAGCAGUGAGGAAUAUUGGUCAAUGGGCGGAAGCCUGAACCAGCCAUGCCGCGUGCAGGAUGACGGCUCUAUGAGUUGUAAACUGCUUUUGUACGAGGGUAAAGUGGGCUACGUGUAGCCUUUUGAAAGUAUCGUACGAAUAAGGAUCGGCUAACCCCGUGCCAGCAGCCGCAGUAACAC